UACGAAGGGGGCUAGCGUUGCUCGGAAUCACUGGGCGUAAAGCGCACGUAGGCGGCUUGUUAAGUCAGGGGUGAAAUCCUGGAGCUCAACUCCAGAACUGCCUUUGAUACUGGCGAGCUUGAGUCCGGGAGAGGUGAGUGGAACUGCGAGUGUAGAGGUGAAAUUCGUAGAUAUUCGCAAGAACACCAGUGGCGAAGGCGGCUCACUGGCCCGUAACUGACGCUGAGGCACGAAAGCGUGGGGAGCAAACAGG
rnacentral:rRNA from 1 species